rnacentral:rRNA from 3 species
UCAUAAUCAGUGAAAACGAGUAGGGCGGGACACGUGAUAUCCUGUCUGAAUAUGGGGGGACCAUCCUCCAAGGCUAAAUACUACUGACUGACCGAUAGUGAACCAGUACCGUGAGGGAAAGGCGAAAAGAACCCCUGUGAGGGGAGUGAAAUAGAACCUGAAACCGUGUACGUACAAGCAGUAGGAGCACCUUCGUGGUGUGACUGCGUACCUUUUGUAUAAUGGGUCAGCGACUUAAUUUUAGUAGCAAGGUUAACCGUUUAGGGGAGCCGUAGGGAAACCGAGUCUUAACUGGGCGUACAGUUGCUAGGAUUAGACCCGAAACCAGGUGAUCUAGCCAUGGGCAGGUUGAAGGUUGAGUAACAUCAACUGGAGGACCGAACCGACUAAUGUUGAAAAAUUAGCGGAUGACUUGUGGCUAGGGGUGAAAGGCCAAUCAAACCUGGAGAUAGCUGGUUCUCCCCGAAAGCUAUUUAGGUAGCGCCUCGGACGAAUACUACUGGGGGUAGAGCACUGUUAAGGCUAGGGGGUCAUCCCGACUUACCAACCCUUUGCAAACUCCGAAUACCAGUAAGUACUAUCCGGGAGACACACGGCGGGUGCUAACGUCCGUCGUGGAGAGGGAAACAACCCAGACCGCCAGCUAAGGUCCCAAAGUAUAGCUAAGUGGGAAACGAUGUGGGAAGGCUCAGACAGCCAGGAUGUUGGCUUAGAAGCAGCCAUCAUUUAAAGAAAGCGUAAUAGCUCACUGGUCGAGUCGGCCUGCGCGGAAGAUGUAACGGGGCUAAGCUAUACACCGAAGCUGCGGCUACGUACCUUAGGGUAUGUGGGGUAGGGGAGCGUUCUGUAAGCCGUUGAAGGUG